UGGUGGUGGAUGGUUAAGGUACCAAUGUUACCGCUUCUUAUUACUGCAUUGACCACAUGCUCAGAGUGUUUGCUGAAUGACUCAGUGAUUGAAUGAGUCUGGGUGAGGUAACUGGGCAUCACUGUUGGCAUACAGCUGCUGAGGGCCGCCAGGAGCCUUUCCUCUGCAGGAAGAAGGGCAUUCACUGAGCAGGGGGCUUGCUAUGCAGCUGAACAUGACCUUGCACUCGUUAUGAGUCAUGUGAGGCACAGUGCUUUUCUUCUUCUUCCUCUUCUCUUCAUUUUCAGUCUCAAGGCUUGAACCUUGGGCCUCUCACUAAGUUGCCCAGGCUGUGAACACACUAUAUCCCAGGGAUUGAACCAGGCUCUUUCCAAUGCUAAACAGAGAUUCUACCACUGAGCUGUACCCAGCCAUCUGACAGACUCUUUCUCGAUCCCAGCAUGAGCACCGACAAACCUCACUAUGGAUGUGCCCACCCACAAGCUCAGAGGAUUAUGUCAUGCUCAUCUGUGUUGCCUGGAGCUAUUCUGGAAGGGGAAGCAGAAGAAUUAGAAACAUUUCCAUAUGAAAGCAGUCUUCACCCAAACUGGACUCCUGCUUUUCUUCAGCCCAGAUUUCAACAAGAGAGGAAACUGUGCACCUGCUUCUCAGUUGUAACUAUCACUUCAGCUUUAGCGUCCUGAUGUCUUCAGAGUUUUGUGCAUUCAAUGAGCUGCCUAUGAGAAGCAUUAUUAACAUCAGUCAAGCUACCAUAAUAAGUCAUUUGUGACUCCUUCCUUCUCCCUUCUCUCCAGCUUGCAUGGUUUUGAACUUGACCUGAUUGGGGUGACAGAGGAAUGAAGAAUGGACACACAGACAUAGACAGGAAAGCUGGGGUUGGUUGCGCUGUGCUCACUCUGGUGGAGCAGCACCAACCCCUCACCAAUUUGGAACCUCAGCAUGGUACCAGAGGAGGGAGUUAGCUAAUCUCGGUAGAAGAGGAGAGCUGUCUCAGGUUGCCCUCACCUGGAAGGAGUAAUCAGCAGUUGCUAGGUUUGGAAGACACUGCCAACAUUUGCACUCAGACUAGAGGAAGGUUUUCCUAUCCCUCUCAGUCCAGGGGAAAGUUUUGGCACUCCCCAGGGUCAGAGGCAUUGGGAGCCCUUGACAUGGCUGGACCCAUAUCAAGCAAUAGACUUAGGACCUCAUCUGCUCGUUAGGCAUCCAUUCAGGGCUUCUUCAGAUCCUCACACUUUCUCCCUUUCCCCAAUUCCCUCUUCCCUUUCUGAGACAAGGUGCCAUGUGGCUCAGGUUGGUCAUGUAUUUGUUAUGUAGCCAAAGAAGAUCUGCAACUUCUGAUGCUCUUGCUUCUACCUCUGGAGCAGGAGCAUAGAUAGAUGUGGACACCUCAACUGACUCAGUGCUGGAAAUUGAGCCCGGGAGUUAAUGCGUGUUAGACAAACGCUCUCCCGCUGAGCUCCAUGCUUGGUACUAUUAUCACAUCUUAUUUUGGUAAUAAAAAUUCUUCCUAUACUACUCCCUACCCCCAAAGAUUCCAGCGUUAAAUGGGGAGGGCCACUAGGAAUACAGUUCAUAAAGCUCAGAGAUAGUGUUGGUUUAGAAUAAGUUUAAGGAUCUAGGUUUGAUCUUUACCAACAUACUAUAAACACAAUAAAUAAGUAAA